rnacentral:rRNA from 1 species
GAUGAACGCUGGCGGCGUGCCUAAUACAUGCAAGUCGAGCGAACAGACGAGGAGCUUGCUCCUCUGACGUUAGCGGCGGACGGGUGAGUAACACGUGGAUAACCUACCUAUAAGACUGGGAUAACUUCGGGAAACCGGAGCUAAUACCGGAUAAUCUAUUGAACCGCAUGGUUCAAUAGUGAAAGACGGUUUUGCUGUCACUUAUAGAUGGAUCCGCGCCGUAUUAGCUAGUUGGUAAGGUAACGGCUUACCAAGGCAACGAUGCGUAGCCGACCUGAUAGGCUGAUAGGCCACACGGGAGCGGAGACACGGUCCAGACUCCUACGGGAGGCAGCAGUAGGGAAUCUUCCGCAAUAGGCGAAAACAUGACGGAGCAACGCCGCGUGAGUGAUGAAGGUCUUCGGAUCGUAAUACUCUGUUAUUAGGGAAGAACAAAUGUGUAAGUAACUAUGCACGUCUUGACGGUACCUAAUCAGAAAGCCACGGCUAACUACGUG